UGUCUCGUCUAAAAUACGGAUAGAGUGGUGUCCCUUUCUAAGUGACAAACUGGCUGCUCGUGACACUGCAGCGCUAGUUCCAGUUUAUGUAUAUCCUUUGCAUUUGGGAAGUUAUUACCAAAGACGGGUUGAUGAAGUAACACCCUGUUGACAGGAGCCAUACAAACGAUGACAAGCCUGAAGCUUCCGACCGAAGAAUUACUCAACGAGGCCUGGGAAACUCAGUUUUGUACAAUUUUCUAUUAUUGGUAAACUCUAUAAGUAAAUCACUAGAGGAAUUUGAGGUCGUUUGAACAUUUAACAUUACUUCAGUGUAGUUAUAUAUCACCUGCAUUUUCAUAUAAUUAAUAAGAAAAAAAAAAAAGCUACUUGCUUAUUUUCUUAAUUCUUAAGAGGAAAAUCACCUCAAUAUGCAUUUGUUUUCAUUUCAAUAAAUUGAAACCUUUCAUUUUUCUGUAACUUACGUUAAAUGUAUUUAACAUAAGGUGAACGAAGUCGUCUCCGGGCAGCUGCGGUUCCCUCCAUCUUCCCACGUACACCAGCACUAUCAACUCAACCAAAGAGGGCACAUCAACUCCAUGAAGAAGAAGCCAACAUAGCUAUAUUGAAUGUGUCGUCGGAGGUGGAAAUCGGUAUUGGAGAGGAUUGUGCUUUAACAAGCCCAAGUAGAUUGAAUGAGCCUCUUGAAACAUGUCAAAGUAACUCUCAGUCUACUCAGUGCAGUUUGUUAGGAAGUUGUUCCAUAGAAACCUACAUCAAUAAUCCCAAAGCUGUUUUGUACUUUGCUGGUUACCAAGAUUAUGACCAUUUCAUGUUUUUCUUUCACUCGCUUGGUCCAGCAGUUUUUGAACUGAACUAUCAAUGUGAACUCUUGCACCCAAAAGUCCAAUUGUUUUUAACUCUAAUGAAAUUAAGACAGGCCAAGGAUGACAUUGAAUUAAGUUUCUUGUUUGGCAUAUCAUCAUCCACUGUUUCCCAAAUUGUAAUAACAUGGAUCAAUUUCUUAUAUUUCCAACUGAAGGAACUACAGAUAUGGCCAUCAAGACCAACUGUUGAUGAUCACAUGCCAACUGAUUUCGGUAAGAAGUUUAAAACCACUAGAGUCAUUUUGGAUGCAACAGAGAUACCAAUAAAGAAGCCAUAUCAUGUUGAUGCUCAGAGCAUGACAUGGUCCAGCUAUAAACAUCAAAACACAUUGAAAACCAUGAUCGGUUGCACACCCAGGGGGGCAGUCUCAUUUAUUAGCGAAUCUUUUGGGGGGUCUGCAAGUGACAGACAGAUCAUAGAACAGUCUCCUUUACUUAACCCAUCACAUGGUAUGUUUGAAAAACAGGAUAGCAUUAUGGCUGACAGGGGCAUUAUGGUUCAAGACUUAUUUGCAGCCCAAGAUGUUCAAGUAAACACUCCAACUAUGUUAAAAGGCAAAUCACAGUUAGAACCAGAAGAUGUUGUUAAGGACAGAAAAAUUGCUUCUAAAAGAAUCCAUGUCGAACCGAUAAUUGGUCUGAGUAAGACAUCUCCCAUCAAGUAAAGUAGUACUUGGAUCGCGGAUUGUUUAUGUUUGUUUUGCUAUUUCAAAUUUCAGAAAUUCCAUUGUAAAUGAAUUUGCUUGAAGCAUCUCUUCUUUGUGAUAUCUGUGACUGAAAUUUGUAGUAGUAGUAGAAUUUUAUUCAGUAGUGUGAGUGAUUGAGAAUUGUUUUACACCGCUUUUAGCAAUAUUCCAGCAAUAUCAUGGCGGAGGACACCAGAAAUGAGCUUCAGCCAUGGUACCCAUGUUGGGAAUUGAACCCGGGUCUUCGGCGUGACGAGCAAACACUUUAGCCAUAAGGCCACCCCACUGCCUUAUACAGUAGUAAUAUAAUCGGUAUGGUCACAUGGCCUAUAGUACAGAUUUUCGUAAUAAUAAGUGGUCAUGUGAGAGCUCGUAAUUUGAAAACAUGUUUCAUAUACAGAGCAACAGAUUUAAGGAGAUGUACAUUUCUUGUUUUAGCUAAUUGACCAUUGAAUGAGUGUUGUUAAAGCUAUGAAAAGGUAAAUACCUAAUUCUAAUCACAGUGUACCUAGGGCAUAUAAACCUAAUAUGGUACUCAUCUUCAACAAAAUCUAAAUGACAAUAUGUAUAUAAAGUAAUAGAGUUACCUACAUUUUCACAUUUAUGGAGCUGAACUGAAUUCAUUAAGGCUUUAAAAUGUUACUGGUGUUGUUGAAAAUUCAAUUUGUGAGGUAAAGUCUAACAAUACCUAACAUGAUGUAUUUUAUUGAUAGAUUAAUAAUUGAAAUAUCAUUAGUCAAAAGGACUGAUUAAGAAAAAUAUGAGUUGUAUUGAAUCAUUGUAUAAUCAAUGUUAGUGUUGUAGCAAUCAAGAAGUGAGAAUGUGAAACUGUAACAUUGAGUGUACAUAAUCAAUCAAACAUAUGUCAUUUUUAGUCAACAGCGAUUGGCUCACAAUAUUUCAGUUAUUUGAGGCUUAUCCCAAUGAAAACAUAUUCAUACAAGGCUUACCUUACAUUUGUACUGGCUACUGGCUUUCAACUGAGUGUGAAAAUCUCCUCACGACCCAAAAAGUUUAUGGAGUGUAACUUGUGACACAAGCAUGUCAUAUUAAAAUGUGAAUCUCUCAUGUGUCAAAGAAAUUGCUUCUUUUCAUUAGUUAUUUAUGCAUAUGGUAAGCUUUGAAAUGAAAGAUAAAGGUGACAUGCUGUCAUUUUUGUUUGGUGGUAUUACCAUAUUUAGUCAAACAAUUGAUUGGCAAACCAAAACCACAAUAUUUUAACUUUGCCAAUGACUUGUAAUAGUCUCAAACCACAGCAGAUUAUUAUUUCUAACUCUGUGUACUGUAGUUACCCCUGAGCUCAAUGUACCGCUCCACUGAUGCUCUUACAAUGUGUAUGUACAUCGUGGUAACAGGUUGUAAACCUGUUCGGUGAAAUCUGGAGGAAAUCCAAAAUCUCUCUCUUGAGUGUCUGAAUAAACAUGUGUAUAUAUGGAA
rnacentral:lncRNA from 1 species